rnacentral:rRNA from 1 species
GACGAACGCUGGCGGCGUGCUUAACACAUGCAAGUCGAACGAAGAGCGAUGGAAGCUUGCUUCUAUCAAUCUUAGUGGCGAGCGGGUGAGUAACGCGUAAUCAACCUGCCCUUCAGAGGGGGACAACAGUUGGAAACGACUCCUAAUACCGCAUACGAUCUAACCCCGGCAUCGAGGAUAGAUGAAAGGUGGCCUCUACAUGUAAGCUAUCACAGAAGGGGGGGAUUGCGUCGGAUUAGCGAGUUGGAGGGGUAACGGACCAGCAAGGCGAUGAUCAGUAGCCGGUCUCAGAGGAUGAACGGCCACAGUGGGACGGAGACACGGCCCAGGCUCCUACGGGUGGGAGCAGUGGGGAACCUUCCGCGAUGGACGAAAGUCUGACGGGGCAACGCCGCGUGAGUGAUGACGGCCGUCGGGUUGUAAAGCUCGGUUAAUCGGGACGAAAGGCCUUCUUGCGAAUAGUUAGAAGGAUUGACGGUACCGGAAUAGAAAGCCACGGCUAACUACGUG